CUCUGUGGUGUUUCUUCUGAAAGCCUAGAUCCUCAGAGGUAGACCUCCUGCUGAGAAGGUGGCAGAUCACCUGUGUACAUAGCAGCAGCACUAUGUGGAAGAGCUUUGCCCAUGGGAGGCUGCAAGGAUUCUGUCAGGUUAUAACUAACGUGUCAAUAGCAGUGUUCUGCUGAAGUGCUUCAAGGGCUUAUAACAAAAAGAUGAAGUGUGGUUGAGGACAAGCAUUGUUUUUCUAAGCCUACUCUUGAUAAUAUUUAUUUCACUGAUUAUGUCAGACCAAGAAAUCAACUUGACUGUUGUUUAGACAGAAGAAUGAAUUUAGUUUUGCUGAUUUUUCCAGAGGAAUAAAAGACAGGAAGUGUUAAAGUAAAGGAAAAAUGCAGCUGACAGCCUGUUAGCCUUUAAUUUGUGUUUUUGUUUUCUCAAGUGAAUAGCAUAAAAUUACUUCAACAAGUGUUUCUCCAAAUUUUAUGAUGUAAUAAGACAGCAUAUUGAAUACUCUGCACGUUUCUAUUUGUUAUGUCCCUUACUAAUGCAAAACAAUUGACUGCGUGUUGUCACUCAAUCUCAGUGACUGCUCAAGUAGUGAUGAAGAAUUUUGUUGUUACUGUUCUCUAUGUUUCAUAGAAAUACUAGUACCAAACUCAUGGUUAAGUUUUUGGUUUGUUCCGUGGCAUGUAUUCGGUUAAAACUGAGUUUUCAUCUCAUUUCUGAAGUUUAAAAUAAUUUUUUUUUUCCAUAAGCAAAAUAUUAAAUGAACCUUUAGGGUAUAAUUUCUGAUUAUUUGGAAUAGUUUAAGUAUUUGUGGGACUGAUGCAAAGUCUACUGGGAGUAAUAAACUGACUCUCAUGGAUAGAAAUGGAGACCCUGGCAACAAUUAAAUUGCAUCCUUUCUGGAAUUCUCUAGACAUGAGAUGAUUUCCAAGACCCAUAAUUUAUAAAAGACUUCAUUUUAACAUUUCAAAUAUAUGUAGUCUAAGUAUACAAAAUUAAGAGAAAAAUCAUAGUUACGCUAGCAUUUGUAACCAUAUUUACAUAAGAUUGUUCUAUUUCAAAAGGCAUAAUGGAGAUCAUAUACUUUGAGUAAUACUUCAUUUAUUAGACAUACAGGCAUAAAAGCUUACAGAAUUAAAGCAGAAAGAAACCAAAGCUAGGGUUUCAUUUCUUAACACUAAUUAAUUUGUAUUCAUAUUUCUAAUUAUGAGAAAUAAUUUUUGUUUUUGUUGUCUUAAUAUAUAUAAAAUUAGUUCAAGUGAAUCCAGGCACAGAGCUGUGCAACCCUUACCUUUGCUUAAAGCAAUACAUUUUAUGAUUUACAGAAUAUGGAGUGUUUGACAGAACACAGGUGUUAAUGCAAAGAGCAAAAGUCACUUUGUUUUUGGAGGAGGGCUUGAUUUAGUCUCUCUCUCCCUCCUUUGGUUCGGGACAUAAAGAAGUAACAGGAGUCUGUCACCUUCUAACUUUUUUUUUUCCUCUGGCAACCUUGUGUAGGGCUUAAACUGAGUUCUGACACAACUCAUAUGCAACAAUUUGCAUUAGGUUGUGUUUGUUUUCACCCUCGGAAAGUGUUCUCUAACGUUCAGCAAAAAUGAUGGAGCACAAAAUGGCCUGGAUUGAGUCUGGAAUCUUACUUCAAUAUUUCACAUAUUAAACCUAAUUAAGGGUUUUGGUAGAAAUCUCA